rnacentral:rRNA from 1 species
AGAGUUUGAUCCUGGCUCAGGAUGAACGCUAGCGGCAGGCCUAACACAUGCAAGUCGAGGGGCAGCGGGAUUGAAGCUUGCUUCAGUUGCCGGCGACCGGCGCACGGGUGCGUAACGCGUAUGCAACCUACCCAUAACAGGGGGAUAACACUGAGAAAUCGGUACUAAUAUCCCAUAACAUCAUGAGGGGCAUCCUUCGUGGUUGAAAACUCCGGUGGUUAUGGAUGGGCAUGCGUUGUAUUAGCUGGUUGGUGAGGUAACGGCUCACCAAGGCGACGAUACAUAGGGGGACUGAGAGGUUAACCCCCCACAUUGGUACUGAGACACGGACCAAACUCCUACGGGAGGCAGCAGUGAGGAAUAUUGGUCAAUGGACGAGAGUCUGAACCAGCCAAGUAGCGUGAAGGAUGACUGCCCUAUGGGUUGUAAACUUCUUUUAUACGGGAAUAAAGUGAGGCACGUGUGCCUUUUUGUAUGUACCGUAUGAAUAAGGAUCGGCUAACUCCGUGCCAGCAGCCGCGGUAAUACGGAGGAUCCAAGCGUUAUCCGGAUUUAUUGGGUUUAAAGGGUGCGUAGGCGGUUUGAUAAGUUAGAGGUGAAAUACCGGUGCUUAACACCGGAACUGCCUCUAAUACUGUUGAGCUAGAGAGUAGUUGCGGUAGGCGGAAUGUAUGGUGUAGCGGUGAAAUGCUUAGAGAUCAUACAGAACACCGAUUGCGAAGGCAGCUUACCAAACUAUAUCUGACGUUGAGGCACGAAAGCGUGGGGAGCAAACAGGAUUAGAUACCCUGGUAGUCCACGCC